rnacentral:rRNA from 1 species
UACGAAGGGGGCUAGCGUUGCUCGGAAUUACUGGGCGUAAAGGGCGCGUAGGCGGCUUAGUGAGUCAGGCGUGAAAUUCCUGGGCUUAACCUGGGGACUGCGCUUGAUACUGCUGGGCUUGAGGCCGAGAGAGGGUGGUGGAAUUCCCAGUGUAGAGGUGAAAUUCGUAGAUAUUGGGAAGAACACCGGUGGCGAAGGCGACCACCUGGCUCGGUACUGACGCUGAGGCGCGACAGCGUGGGGAGCAAAC